rnacentral:rRNA from 1 species
UACGUAGGGAGCAAGCGUUAUCCGGAUUUACUGGGUGUAAAGGGCGCGUAGGCGGGAUGGCAAGUCAGAUGUGAAAUCCAGGGGCUCAACCCCUGAACUGCAUUUGAAACUGUCGUUCUUGAGUACUGGAGAGGUUGACGGAAUUCCUAGUGCAGCGGUGAAAUGCGUAGAUAUUAGGAGGAACACCAGUGGCGAAGGCGGUCAACUGGACAGCAACUGACGCUGAGGCGCGAAAGCGUGGGUAGCAAACAGG